rnacentral:tRNA from 1 species
AGGUGAUUAAUUUAAUUAAAAUCCUUGAUUUCGACUCGAGAUCUUAUGGUUAAAGUCCAUAAUCGCCUC